rnacentral:rRNA from 1 species
CCUACGGGAGGCAGCAGUGAGGAAUAUUGGUCAAUGGUCGAGAGACUGAACCAGCCAAGCCGCGUGAGGGAUGAAGGUACUAUGUAUCGUAAACCUCUUUUAUCAGGGAAUAAAGUCUGGGACGCGUCCCGGGUUGAAUGUACCUUAUGAAUAAGGAUCGGCUAACUCCGUGCCAGCAGCCGCGGUAAUACGGAGGAGCCGAGCGUUAUCCGGAUUUAUUGGGUUUAAAGGGUGCGUAGGCGGACUGUAAAGUCAGCGGUAAAAUCGUGUGGCUCAACCUCUUUACGCCGUUGAAACUGGCAGUCUUGAGUGUGUGAGAGGUAGGCGGAAUGCGUGGUGUAGCGGUGAAAUGCUUAGAUAUCACGCAGAACUCCGAUUGCGAAGGCAGCAUACCGGCCCACAACUGACGCUGAGGCACGAAAGCGUGGGUAUCGAACAGGAUUAGAUACCCGUGUAGUC